rnacentral:rRNA from 1 species
UGCCAGCCGCCGCGGUAAUACGGAGGGGGCGAGCGUUAUUCGGAAUUACUGGGCGUAAAGGGUGCGUAGGCGGCCCAUCAAGUUAGACGUGAAAGCCCCGGGCUCAACCUGGGAAUUGCGUUUAAUACUGGUGAGCUAGAGUACGAGAGAGGUGAGUGGAAUUCCGAGUGUAGAGGUGAAAUUCGUAGAUAUUCGGAAGAACACCAGUGGCGAAGGCGACUCACUGGCACAUUUCUGACGCUGAGGCGCGAAAGCGUGGGGAGCAAACAGGAUUAGAUA